rnacentral:rRNA from 1 species
AGUGAACGCUGGCGGUAGGCCUAACACAUGCAAGUCGAACGGCAGCACAGUAAGAGCUUGCUCUUACGGGUGGCGAGUGGCGGACGGGUGAGGAAUACAUCGGAAUCUACUUUUUCGUGGGGGAUAACGUAGGGAAACUUACGCUAAUAUCGCAUACGACCUACGGGUGAAAGCAGGGGAUCUUCGCACCUUGCGCGAUUGAAUGAGCCGAUGUCGGAUUAGCUAGUUGGCGGGGUAAAGGCCCACCAAGGCGACGAUCCGGAGCUGGUCUGAGAGGAUGGUCAGCCACACUGGGAGUGAGACACGGUCCAGAGUCCUACGGGAGGCAGCAGGGGGGAAUAUUGGACAAUGGGCGCAAGCCUGAUCCAGCCAUGCCGCGUGGGUGAAGAAGGCCUUCGGGUUGUAAAGCCCUUUUGUUGGGAAAGAAAAGCAGCAGGUUAAUACCCCGCUGUUCUGACGGUACCCAAAGAAUAAGCACCGGCUAACUUCGUG